rfam:Ajellomyces capsulatus H88 supercont1.3 genomic scaffold, whole genome shotgun sequence.
AGAGAAUUGACUGAGCGGUUUAAAGUGGUAAGCUUGAAACUUAUUUGAUCUAUUUGAUCACAUCCGUUCGAAUCGGAUAUUCUCUG